rnacentral:rRNA from 1 species
GACGAACGCUGGCGGCGUGCUUAACACAUGCAAGUCGAACGGAAAGGCCCUGCUUGCAGGGUACUCGCGUGGCGAACGGGUGAGUAACACGUGGGUGAUCUGCCCUGCACUUCGGGAUAAGCCUGGGAAACUGGGUCUAAUACCGGCUAGGAGCCAUUUUUAGUGUGAUGGUUGGAAAGUUUUUUCGGUGUAUGAUGAGCUCUCGGCCUAUCAGCUUGUUGGUGGGGUAAUGGCCUACCAAGGCGGCGACGGGUAGCCGGCCUGAGAGGGUGGACGGCCACAUUGGGACUGAGAGAAGGCCCAGACGCCUAAGGGAGGCAGCAGUGGGGAAUAUUGCACAAUGGGCGCAAGCCUGAUGCAGCGACGCCGCGUGGGGGAUGACGGCCUUCGGGUUGAAAACUCCUUUCGCUAGGGACGAAGCUUUUUGUGACGGUACCUAGAGAAGAAGCACCGGCUAACUACGUG